CACGUGUGCUGGGUUUUGCUUUAAUUUGUGAGUUUAUUUUUCAGAUCUUACGGAUAUUAGAUUUUAGUCUAAGUAGACAGAUUUGCAUUACAGCGUUUGAAUUAAAGAUGCAAAAUGCAUUUUAGACCGAGAAUACACUAUUAUUUCAGGCUAUUUGAACGUUGCCUGUGCGAUUGACCAUUAUGCCAUAACCUACAAUUAUUUCUAUGAGAUGAGCCAGAAUAAUUGCGCUGCAAAAGGCAUAGGCUGUGUGUUCAGUUUGCGACGUGAUUGUGCCGGCGUGGCCCCAACGUGUAACGACAUCUGUGAGUCAGCAUCGGCCGAAAUUCGCACCAUAGCACAUCCACGAAACAAAGUUCCAUGUUUCGAUGCAUUCGAAAUCAAUAAAAACCACACUCAACUGCUGGCUAACCCAACCAACUCACAGCCGGACUCAGGAAAGGUUAGUUUCGCCACCUAUGAUUAUGGUUCUGGCGGAUGUACCUGGACAUCCCAUAACUUUGGACCAAACUAUUGCUGUUGCAUAGCUUUCAGUUAGAGCAGAGAACUAUCAGACAAGUUUUCAGACGACGAUAACUAUUGAUUUAGAUGAUUGUUUGAAUAUGCAACGUUUUACGACUGACAAAUUUGACGUUAUAUUUUCUGCAAAUGUUGGAUCUUAAGAUAAAAUAAGUUAAAAAUUAUAACGCUCAGCAUAUGUGUGACUUUUCCAAAUAGAAUAUAUACUUAAUAUGCGUCUACAAAUUUAUACAACACCGAUUGUGAAACAGUAGCACAUUUCCUGUUCACUCCUAACGAAUGUUAUUUCAAUGAAGUAAAUGUACAAACAUAGCUUGAGUGAUACAUCUUUAAUACUAUUAUAUUUACUGAGUCUAAGGAGAAUAAACCGUUGAUAUUCCAUAACUAUUAGUACACUAAUAAACUGUUAUAAUG